rnacentral:rRNA from 1 species
GGGUUGUGAGGUUAAGCGACUAAGCGUACACGGUGGAUGCCCUGGCAGUCAGAGGCGAUGAAGGACGUGCUAAUCUGCGAAAAGCGCCGGCGAGGUGAUAUGAACCUUUGACCCGGCGAUGUCCGAAUGGGGAAACCCAGUGCAAUCCGUUGCACUAUCGUUAACUGAAUACAUAGGUUAACGAGGCGAACCGGGGGAACUGAAACAUCUAAGUACCCCGAGGAAAAGAAAUCA